AUGGUAAAGAAUGGGUGGGUCCUGCCUGGGGCUAUUUUAGGGGGAGGGUUUCUCUCACUUUGCUUGGGCACGGAGCAGUUGCAGAAGAGGGGUUUAUGGUGGGCUUCCCUGGGGGUACCUCAUGGAAUGAUACUGAGACCAUCUCAUAGGAUCUGGGAGAACAGCUGGAUGCGUUUGGACAUGGAGCAUUGCUUAAAGGAGGUGCCGAGGGAGAAACCUUUGUGUCUGGAAGCAGCAUCGGAGCAAGGCCAAAUACGAGUGGCAAAACAACGUUGGCAUGGAACUGCUGCAGGAGAGGAGUUUCUGGUGGGCUCCCAGUGGCAUCUGAUGGAGUGACGCUGACCAGGAGACGACAUCCUGGCAAUGGCAGGAACUUUCCAGAUGGCGAGGCGGCCUUCCUUCGCACCCCGUGUGGAUCCACCCUGCCGGGCAUGCGAGAGCUGAGUCGAAGGCUACGACCCGCGGAAAGGAUGAAAGCAGGGUGCCGGGACGGGACAUGUGACCUGGGAUUUUUGAGUCAGCUUUGGGGACGGGGAGGUCCAGGCUGUGGCCCCUUAGGCCGCACGGUGGGAGAGCCUCACUUUUGUUCACAGUGCUGAGGUGUGCAGGACAGAGCAGCCUCGGGGCGCGUCGUGUCACUUGUCCGUCGUGCCUUCUGUGUCUUUUGUGCCUCUUGUGUUGUACGUGCCUUGCCCUAUCUCUUCUGGGGGCUUGCCAGAAACCCCAGCAUCACACUUAUAGCAUCUCCAAUCUCUGGGCUCCUCGGCUCGGCAGCUCUCAGAGGCCUCGGAAUCGCGUCUCUUUUGAAAAGCAUCCGAUCGGAUGUCUUUUAGAUGUCUUGUUCCGAGCUGUGUCAACAGCCGUGCGCCGCGAGGAUCCAUUGUUGCGGCUUAGGACUUGAAGAAACGCAAAGAUAGGUAGAGGAUUGCUGCCAUAAGAUUCUUGGGCAUCCGUCUUGGCGGUACCUGGAGUUUGUCAUUCCGUCAGCAUCUUCUUCCUCCCGGGUUCUGUGAGCUUC
rnacentral:lncRNA from 1 species